rnacentral:precursor_RNA from 1 species
UAGAAAUAUACAAUAAAUAAUUAUUUAAAUUAAAAAAUUUUAAAAAAUAAAUAAUUAUAAUUAUUUAUUGUAUAUUUCUAUA